AGAGUUUUAUCAUGGCUCAGGAUGAACGCUAGCUACAGGCUUAACACAUGCAAGUCGAGGGGAAACGACAUCGAAAGCUUGCUUUUGAUGGGCGUCGACCGGCGCACGGGUGAGUAACGCGUAUCCAACCUGCCCACCACUUGGGGAUAACCUUGCGAAAGUAAGACUAAUACCCAAUGACGUCUCUAGAAGACAUCUGAAGGAGAUUAAAGAUUUAUCGGUGAUGGAUGGGGAUGCGUCUGAUUAGCUUGUUGGCGGGGUAACGGCCACCAAGGCGACGAUCAGUAGGGGUUCUGGAGAGGAAGGUCCCCCANAUUGGAACUGAGACACGGUCCAAAACUCCGUACGGGAGGCA
rnacentral:rRNA from 1 species